rnacentral:tRNA from 2 species
GAACUGGUAGCUCAGUUGGCAAGAGACUUGGGUCGGUGGUUCGAGUCCACCUCAGUUCC